GGGCCCGCACAAGCGGUGGAGCAUGUGGUUUAAUUCGACGCAACGCGAAGAACCUUACCAGGUCUUGACUUCCUGACUAUGGUUAUUAGAAAUAAUUUCCUUCAGUUCGGCUGGGUCAGUGACAGGUGCUGCAUGGCUGUCGUCAGCUCGUGUCGUGAGAUGUUGGGUUAAGUUCCGCAACGAGCGCAACCCUUAUCUUCAGUUGCCAGCAGGUUAAGCUGGGCACUCUGAAGAGACUGCCGGUGAUAAGCCGGAGGAAGGCGGGGAUGACGUCAAGUCCUCAUGGCCCUUAUGACCUGGGCUACACACGUGCUACAAUGGCGUUGACAAUGAGCAGCGAUAACGCAAGUUUCAGCUAAUCUCAAAAAUACGUCUCAGUUCGGAUAGAACUCUGCAACUCGAGUUCUUGAAGUUGGAAUCGCUAGUAAUCGC
rnacentral:rRNA from 1 species